rnacentral:rRNA from 1 species
CUGGGUUUGACAUGUACAGCAUGUGCCUAGAGAUUGGUAUUACCUUGUGGCCCGUGUGCAGGUGGUGCAUGGCUGUCGUCAGCUCGUGUCGUGAGAUGUGUGGGUUAAGUCCCGCAACGAGCGCAACCCUUAUCUUAUUUUGCCAGCACGUAAUGGUGGGGACUCGUGAGAGACUACCGGGGUCAACUCGGAGGAAGGUGGGGAGGAUGUCAAGUCAUCAUGUCCCCUUAUGUCCAGGGCUUCACACAUGUUACAAUGGCCGGUACAAAGGGAUGCGAUGCCGUGAGGUGGAGCGAAUCCUUUCAAAGCUGGUCUCAGUUCUGAUCGGGGUCUGCAACUCGAUCCCGUGAAGUCGGAGUCGCUAGUAAUCGCAGAUCAGCAACGAUGCGGUGAAUACGUUCCGCGGGCCUUGUACACACCCCCCGUCACGUCAUGAAAGUCGGUAACACCCGAAGCCGCGCGGCCUAACCCCUUGAGGGAGGGAGCCGUGGAAGGUGGGAUCGGCGAUUGGG